rnacentral:rRNA from 1 species
CCGACUAAGAGGUGGCCAUGUAGGGCAGUGGCCAUUUUUUUGAAUAAGCCGUCGAGGGUCGGCACGCGGCAGAGUUGAGAGUUCGCGGCGAGCGGUCGCUUUGGGCUAGGUUCUGUUGUUAUGGGUGAGGGUUGGAAGACACCGCUACCGUCGUGACCGCUCCUCCCGCCCUCCUAGGGGACGCCGCCGCGACACCCGGCGCCGGUCCCCUAAGCGCAGCCAGCCGAGGCUGUAGCAGAGGCGCCGCGGGCCGCACAGCGACGUCUUCCGCGCCAGGACCCUGCUCCCCCAGCGGUGGUUCAAGAGGUGGUGGGGAGAGUUCCUGUAGAAGGUACCCUUCUUUCAGCAGUAGAAGCCCAACGGCCCACGUAUGUGUCCUCAUACAAGCGUCAGGGUGCAAGGAUCAAUGUUCUUGUUGUAACUAUUCAACUUUCGUUUUCCCUAGCUGAGACAAUAGACACAUCGACAUUUACUAGGGAUACACGACUUACCUACCCGUCUUUUUAAUGUCCGUUUUCUACGUUAACUCAAAAUACCACUGGAACUGCCCUCGAAGGUGUUUUCGAACCUAAACCUUUAUCUAGAGAGACGACGAAACGAACCAGCUGCGAGGGUGUCCACCAGCCGGAAACAGCUACUACCCUUCUAGUUCCGUAAGUUGCAACUCUUUCGGGGAAGACUGAAGUUCCAAAGACCACGACUCCACUAGAACCUAGUUUAGACUCGACUAGCCAUUAGCCACGAGACAAAACGAAAACACUACGUUUAUUCACUGUCGAGCUCUUAGACACACUUCUACAACGACAGACAGCACGAUCAAGGUCCUGUCAGUAAAACGACGACGUUUAGAAAUAAAGAAAACAAGGUCUUGUCAGUAGCUUAAUCAGUGGCCAAGCACAUACGCUGUCAAAGACAAUAAACCGCAAACUACUUCUCGACACGAGCGCACGUCCAUUAGACUCUUGCUCGCCCACAAAUAAAACAGGAGAACAACAGCGUAACCGACUUGGCCGGAACCUGGUAUAUUGUAUGCAUCUGGUUUGUGAUCAUUAAACGACCAAUCAGACAAGUUUGCGUUCUACUCUGUAAAUCACAUCGCCUAAACAUAUAAGUAUACAAUCCGUCGAAGGUACUCGGAAGGUACACUUCCGUUCUAUAAAAGACCCAACAAGCCACGACCCUCCGAGUCGAUUCUCAACCACGUGUACCG